AACGGCCGUACCAUGCUGAAUAUACCGGUUCUCGUUAGAUCACCGAAGUCAAGCUUCACUGGGCGCGGUCAGUACUUGGGUGGGUGACCACCUGGGAACACUGCGUGCCGUU